CAGCAGACACAUUCCAGCCAAUCAGCAGCAGACCCUCCCUCCCAGACCCUUCCACCUCCUGGACAGCAUCCAUUUUGAAGCUGCAUUCUUAGUGAGCUGUCCAGGAGGUAGGAGGGUCUGGGAGGGAGGGUCUGCUGCUGAUUGGCUGGAAUGUGUCUGCUG
rnacentral:miRNA from 1 species